GACAGCUGGCGCAUUACUGAUUUAUCUGCGGUACUUCAGUAUGACAGAUAAGUCACUCUCUAUCUCUAUCUAACCAUCUUCUUUGUUUUUCUCUAUCUAAUUUGUAUCUAAUUUCAAAGUACAGAAUUAAAUUUGCUAUGCUUUUUCCUCUCUUCGGUGAGAAUUCCACAACCUUCUUCUUCGCUGUAAGAAAGAAUUGGUGUUUGGCUUGGAUUUUUGUGGUUCAUUAUUUGCUAAAUUGACAUAAUCACAUGGUUCACAGUCACCGCUGAUCUUCGCUCAGAAUUCCUUUGGCUUCUGCUUCUUCGUUGUAACAGAAAAUUAGGGUUUUGUUUGGGGUUUUGUAGUUCAGUAGUUGUUCAAUUGACAUAAUCAUAUGGCUGAAAGCCACUUUGCUGCUAUUCUGGAGAUCAUCCAUUAAUUGAAGUUCUCUGCACCUUCCUAUUCAAUAUGGAUUUUCCCAAUAAGGAAAACUAACAAAUACAGAGGGUGACAAUUGGUUGUCCAUUGAGUUGAGAUUAUGGGUUCAAAAUUUAAUAUCAGUUGAAAUUUUGGUGGUAUUUGGGACCACGCAUAGGGGUUUAAACCAGCAAUGUUCAAUGAUAUUUUUUAUGUACUAAUAUGUAAACUUUUUUAUGGAUAAUCUAAAAAAUAAGUCUUUCUUAUGUAUAAGAGGAAAGAGUAUUGAUAUGCUUCCUCUGAGAUUUCUCUAACAAGCGAAGUUUUGUUUAGUUUAUAAAAAGAUUAGUGAGAAAGCUGAGAUUUUAAUAGUUUGGAGGUCAUUAUGUGCUCAUUGUAUUUUUUUAUUGUUAUCAAGAAAUGUGAAUAUGAGCUUAUUGUCUUUUUUGAUUAAAAAAAAUGUGAAUUCUGAGCUAAGCUAUAUUCACUAUUAGAUUUGACAAUCUAUCCGGCGAUAGAAACUGUGAUGUUUAAUUGUUAGCAUGUAGGAAAGAGCUCAUAUGGAGAAAUUAGGUAAAUACACACAUACAGAGAGAGAGACUUGGUCAUCUUUAAUCUUUUGGGCACUCCACAAUUUUAGCAUAUAUUUAACUGGAAGGCUACAAUGUUACCAUCUUUCAAUAAACUUUGACAAGAACUAACUUGAAACAUGAAGUCAUGGAAAAUCUUCAUAGUUUUUCUUUUUCCUGAGAAGGUAACAU